CAACAAGAAGCAAGAACACUUAAAGUAGAACACGAAGCGACACCUGCAAUUAGAAACCACCCAGACCAGCAUAGCUGAUAGCUUAGGCCUGCUUGAUUAUCGAGCUUAUCGAGAACGCGGAAAGAAGAACCGCACACACGAUAGGAUUUCCACACAUUUGCUCCCGACCGGUCCGCCCAAGCACCAUUAGACUGGGACCGUUGAAUCAACGCCAGGGCACAUCUCGGUUCAUGCCAUCGACCUGCACGAAUAUAGACAAAGGGUACGAGGAAAAACUAGAUGUGAGUGACUAACUAAAGCUAUACUAAAAUGGAUCUAAUAAAUAUGAAUUUUCCAGCUUUGAGCUGCGUCAAACAAACCGCUGCUUCAAGGAGUUUGUACUCAUCCCAACAAUCUCAAAGAUCUACGUGCAGUCUCGUAAAAUAGGAUGGCAACUAUACCUGGAAAUGUAUACCGAGAGUGCCGGAACUGUAAACAAUACGGACUGCUGGAGAAUAUGAAGAAUUGCCCCGGCUGCAGCUGCUCGUAUCACGCAGCUUGCUUAGGAAUCGAAGAAAAAAUCUUCCACGAAGGUUGG